AUGUCAGAUUGAGUUAGACUUUAAUGUCAGAACUCAUAGCUUACUAUCAUUUUUGUCCACAGGAGACUAGUUACUACAUGUCAUAAUGAAUCAUCUCUUUGUUCCUCAGGAUUUUGCCAUCACGACAAAGGGAGCCACAAUGCAGGUUUCAGUGGAGAGAUGGAAGGCAGCCAACAUCUGCACUGUUGUGGAAAUGUGUCUUACAAGAUCUCAGAAAGUUCCUGCUGCAAUGGAAAUUUAACCCUAGGAUUAAGCCAGCUGGUGGCUGACUGCUGUGAUUCUGUAGCUUACAAUCCCCUUAACGAGAUUUGCUGUGGUGGCAGCAUACUGACACGAAGCAGCACUCACAUGAAAUGCUGUGGCAAAGUCAUGUACCUGACAACGACUCAUUUGUGUUGUGAUGACAUAAUACUUGAAUGGAAGGAAAAUCAUUCUUGUUGUGGAAAUAAAACGUAUGACAUGACAACCCACUACUGCUGCACUAACCUUACACUAGAAGUAAAGCCUUAUAAUGAAACUUGCUGUCCAAAAG